AGGGUUUGAUCAUGGCUCAGAACGUACGCUGGCGGCACGCCUAACACAUGCAAGUCGAACGAAGUAGCAAUACUUAGUGGCAGACGGGUGAGUAACAUGUAGGUAUCUUCCCUUUGGCCUGGAAUAACACGAGGAAACUUGUGCUAAUACCGGAUAAGUCUUUACGGAGAAAGCUUUAUGCACCAUUGGAUGAGCCUGCACUUGAUUAGUUUGUUGGUGGGGUAAUGGCCUACCAAGACUUUGAUCAAUAGCUGAUUUGAGAGGAUGAUCAGCCACAUUGGGACUGAGACACGGCCCAAACUCCUACGGGAGGCAGCAGUGGGGAAUCUUGCACAAUGGAGGAAACUCUGAUGCAGCGAUGCCGCGUGAGUGAAGAAGGCCUUUGGGUUGUAAAGCUCUUUCGUCGGGGAAGAAAAUGACUGUACCCGAAUAAGAAGGUCCGGCUAACUUCGUGCCAGCAGCCGCGGUAAUACGAAGGGACCUAGCGUAGUUCGGAAUUACUGGGCUUAAAGAGUUCGUAGGUGGUUGAAAAAGUUGGUGGUGAAAUCCCAGAGCUUAACUCUGGAACUGCCAUCAAAACUUUUCAGCUAGAGUUUGAUAGAGGAAAGCAGAAUUUCUAGUGUAGAGGUGAAAUUCGUAGAUAUUAGAAAGAAUACCAAUUGCGAAGGCAGCUUUCUGGAUCAUUACUGACACUGAGGAACGAAAGCAUGGGUAGCGAAGAGGAUUAGAUACCCUCGUAGUCCAUGCCGUAAACGAUGUGUGUUAGACGUUGGAAAUUUAUUUUCAGUGUCGCAGCGAAAGCGAUAAACACACCGCCUGGGGAGUACGACCGCAAGGUUAAAACUCAAAUGAAUUGACGGGGACCCGCACAAGUAGUGGAGCAUGUGGUUUAAUUCGAAGAUACGCGCAGAACCUUACCAACACUUGACAUGUUCGUCGCGACUUUAAGAGAUUAAAGUUUUCGGUUCGGCCGGACGAAACACAGGUGCUGCAUGGCUGUCGUCAGCUCGUGUCGUGAGAUGUUGGGUUAAGUCCCGCAACGAGCGCAACCCUCACUUUUAGUUGCCAUCAUUUAGUUGGGCACUCUGAAAGAACUGCCAGUGAUAAGCUGGAGGAAGGUGGGGAUGACGUCAAGUCCUCAUGGCCCUUACGUGUUGGGCUACACACGUGCUACAAUGGUAUCUACAACAGGAAGCAAAACGGCGACGUUAAGCAAAUCCUUAAAAGAUACCUCAGUUCGGAUUGUACUCUGCAACUCGAGUACAUGAAGCUGGAAUUACUAGUAAUCGUGGAUCAGCGUGCCACGGUGAAUGCGUUCCCGGGUCUUGUACACACCGCCCGUCACACCAUGGGAGUUGGUUCUACCUUAAGGCAAGGUUUAAAACCCUUGACCACGGUAUAGUCAGCGACUGGGGUGAAGUCAUAACAAGGUAACCGUA
rnacentral:rRNA from 1 species